rnacentral:lncRNA from 1 species
UUGUAAAAGUAUACCAUUAUUGGUAAAAGUACGGUCUUAAACCUGAAACCUGACUCUAAACCGAACAGCAAGCCACAAAGGGCCCCCAAAUGACUAGAUGCGUGUCAAUAGUGCUUAACACUACGCUGGUGAUACAUAGUUCAAUUGUGCGAUGCGACCUUUAUUGUGUGGUACGAGUAAAAGCACUGUUAUGAGUGUUCUUGUAUUAAUUCUACUGUAUUCAGGUCACGUACUGUUGUCAUUUACGCG